rnacentral:misc_RNA from 1 species
GAUGAAGAACGUAGCGAAAUGCGAUACGUAAUGUGAAUUGCAGAAUUCAGUGAAUCAUCGAGUCUUUGAACGCACAUUGCGACCCCUGGUAUUCCGGGGGGCAUGCCUGUCCGAGCGUCAUUGCUGCCCUCAAGCACGGCUUGUGUGUUGGGCCUCCGUCCUCCUCCCGGGGGACGGGCCCGAAAGGCAGCGGCGGCACCGCGUCCGGUCCUCGAGCGUAUGGGGCUUCGUCACCCGCUCUUGUAGGCCCGGCCGGCGCUUGCCGACACAUCAAUCUUUUUUCCAGGUUGACCUCGGAUCAGGUAGGGAUACCCGCUGAACUUAAGCAUAUCAAUAAGCGGAGGG